rnacentral:rRNA from 1 species
UACCCGCUGAAUUUAAGCAUAUAAUUAAGCGGAGGAAAAGAAACUAACUAGGAUUCCCUCAGUAACGGCGAGUGAAGCGGGACUAGCUCAGGAUGUGAAUCUGCGCUUUUUGGCGCCGAAUUGUGGUCUAUAGACUUUGACGUUAUCUGCCGGGCCAAGUUCCUUGGAAAAGGACAGCUGAGAGGGUGACACUCCCGUCCGCGUGGUAGAAUGAGUCUUUGUCAACGAGUCGAGUUGUUUGGGAUUGCAGCUCUAAUUUGGUGGUAAAUUCCAUCUAAAGCUAAAUAUUGGUGGGAGACCGAUAGCGUACAAGUACCGUGAGGGAAAGAAGCAAAGAACUUUGAAAAGAGAGUUAAAGAGUACCUGAAAUUGCUGAAACGGAAGCGAAGGAAACCAGUGUUUGUUGGUUCAUAUUUCCCUUGCCACUUGUGGUGAGGGCGAUGUGAGCUUGCGUGGGUGUUCUUUGGUUGAUCCCUUUGGAAGAGAAGCAGUCAGAGUUGAUGUCUGUUGCUAGCACUGGUUUGACUAAAGCA